AGUACGCCUAGGUACGUCUCAAACGGAUCAACUAUAGCAGCUCAUGGUGAUGAAGUUAGUUUGGCUUUAUCCACUGAAGAUAAAUAUGACGACGACGGUUCUUUUGUUGGAGAAUACUCGGAUAUGACUUCGACAAAGAAAUACGAGGAAAUUUUCGUCUGAUAUUUUUCAUCAUGCAUCAUGAAUCAGUGCGGAGUUCAACACAAAUGACCUCAGGUGAAAUAGCGGAUGGCCAGAAAUUUAUGCUACUAUAGCUAGGAUGUAGAAAAUUAGCAAAUGCAUGCUAUAAUCAUUGAUAUGUACGUAUCAAUGGCAAUGAUGAUCUUAUACGAUGUACUGGACUCUAAACCGCCUGGUUUUCUGGUAACCGCCUGGUCAUGUACCUUCCAAGCUAGUAAUAGUAUAUGAUAGUAACAUAAGUUCCAGUAGUAUUUUGUGGUCUUGAUAGUUUGCUUAAUAAUAAAAAUAAGCAAGUUUCAAUGCAAAUGAACAUUUCAGAAAAAACGGAAUGGAGUUUCUUACAGAAGGCGGUUCGUGCAUGAAGGCGGUUGUUGUUCGCUGUUUUAUACGUCGAAUUUCGGUCGCGUCGAAUGCAAUUCAAACAAUAGAUAGAAGCUUAAUGAGGUUUAUCAUCUCAAUAGAAGCUUAAUGAGGUUUAUCAUCUCAUUAUCUAUUGUCUUAAUUGCAUUCGACGCGACCAAAAUUCGACGUAUAAAACGGGCCUGAAACUCGAGUUGUUUGUGUGUUUAAAUUAAUGUAUGAUGUAAACCGUACGUGUAGAUUUUGGGCAAUGCCUGUAUACAGCCAAUUCAAAAAAGGUCGUCCUUUGCAAACCUUAAACUCUAAACCUUAAACUCCAAGCGCGCAAAGCUUAAUGGGAGCACAAGUUUCAAGCUUAGUAGUUGAAUAUUACAGCUAUUUGUGAACGAAUUGUUCUCGUAAGAAGAUAUUUACCAUGUCUCUAAGAAAUGGGCCCCACAUAUGAUUUCCAAACUGAUUAAAUGUGCUCCCAUCAUGCUUUGCACGCUUAGAAUUUAAGGUUUAAAGUUUGCAAAGAACAACCUUUUCUGAAUUAGUGUACAUGUAUAAACCUUUAAACUAACAUAUUUUAAAGAUCAUUUGCCCAUGGGCAUGGCAAUGCAGCAUAUUUUUAACGAUUCAAUAAUUAACAAUUAUUGAAUGAGGUUGAGCACAAUAUGGAGAAUUAUCAAGCCCGAAGUUUGCCGUUAUCAACCGAAGCCGAAGGCUGAGGUUGAUAACGGCAAACUGAGGGCUUGGUAAUUCUUCAUAUUGUGCGAAAACCGAAUUCAAUAAUUGUUUUAUUUAUUUAAAAAAUUCAAAACAAACGGUCAUCUAUUUGUUCGCCCACGUCACGUUAUAAACCAGGAAAAGAAUUAAGAAACUGAGUGUUCUUACCUAUUCUAGAAGCCUUUGUUGAUCUUUUUGUAUUUCCAGUAAUUUUUGAAUUUCGGCUUCGCCAAGGUUUGCAAACCUUUCAGUGGAAGAAGCCAUUUGUAUUUUAUUUGUAUUAAGACUGAAAAAACAAUUCCUUAGUCCUUCGGCAGCCGUCGUCGUCAUAGCAAUGGCGUCAGCGAGUCAAUAUGAUUCUCGUUGUCAUAGUAAUAUGGCGCAAACGCGUCCAAUUUUUUUUCAUAUUGACUCUUUGACGUCAUUUUGCUAUUAUGAAUGUGAAAAAUCCGUAUUUGGUUAGCCAUUGAGUUGAUAUGACAAUUUCACAGUUGGCUGUUGGCCAAUCAGAAACCAGGAAUUUUUUAAAUAAAUAAUAACAACAAUUGGCAACAUAAGCUCUUCGACUAACCUCGAAAAUUCUUUACACUUCGUCGGAAUAAAAUCACUCCUGGCACGACUGAUACUUUUCUGAGUUCGGACGAUGUAGGGGAACUUGAAAAACAAGAUUUUUUAGAUUUAGUAUUUUAGACACGAACAUAUAUACUAUUAUACAGAUGUAACAUAUAAUUUGUAGUAUUUUGUAAUUUAUUACUAUAUUAUAAUAUAUAAUAUAUAAUUUAAAUUAAUGAAUGUGAAGAG